rnacentral:lncRNA from 1 species
AAUGUCAGAAUACGUGGGUUAACCUAUAUCAUUCAAUCCUCUUGUCUACUUUGGACUUCCCAACCAACUUCCAAUCUUCUUCCUUCAUCUUUCCUAUAUUUACGCGCUCCAAGUCUAUAUAAAUCCUCCUUCCAUCCCCUUAACUUACCCAAUCUUGAUCAAGCUUUCCUCAGUUUUAAAGAUGACGAAAGAGGUGGUAUACAUGCAAAACUGGGGUGCAGUGGCACCAUCCCCUCUCAUUAAUCCCAGAAAAUCUUCCACAUAUCCAAGGCUAGAGACCAUUCAUGAAGAAGGGUGUGAAAAUCAUUCAGUUUUUUCAAAGAAAUUCUUGCUGGUUCUCCCCCUUGUCUUGUCUACGGGUGUCUAUUUCUUGGUAAACAAGGAUUUGACUCUGUGUGCAUGAGCCCUUCCAAUGCUUUUUUUUUGCUUCAAAGGGAUCUGGGAAAACUGUGGCUUUCUCCCCCCCCCCCCCCUUUCUUUGCUUGAGAGAUGAGAAGCCUGGAAAAUGGAGUAUCUCAAUAAAUUCAAUGCCAGGGAGAGAAGAAUGUUCAAUAAGUUUAUAGCAGUGUAAUGAGUGAGAAUAUGAGAUAGAUGGUGGGCAAAUCUGCUUUGAUGUUCAUAAUUUGUAAAUCUUGUUUUAUCAUCAUAUCAAUCCAACGUUUCCCAGCCUCUGGUUUUUGAAAGUUUCUGAUUGCAAUAGUUUUGAACAUUGGCUAAAAUUUUCCUGCUUUAGAAAGGCCUGCAACCACCAGCUAACAAAUCAACAAUCUAAUUCACUGCUUGCUAACUCUGGUUAAUAAUAUAAUAACUAGUGAUUCUAGCCUUUAGGGAACACAAAUGAACCCAAUUCUUUGCAUAAUGAAAAUAUUUCCUGCUUAUUGUAUGGAAAGUUGGCCAAAAUUAUAAUUUACUCCAAAAACAGAGCAUCUCGACUUGGGAAGUAAUGGCUAAAGAAUCCCCUGGUUAUCACCAUUGAUUUGUGUGUUUUUAUUUGAAUUUAUUUCUUAAUUUCAUUUUGGAAAGUGGCUUACGCAUUCGCUGACAUGAUCCAAUUGCCAGCUUGAGAUCAUGGUAUGAGUUGGGCUCUAUCUAGAGACCUUGCUUGGUGGCCUUGGACCUCACAUCAUUCCCAUUUCUCCUUUUUAAUAACCAAAUUAGAAAUUCCAAAUCUCUUUUUUUAUUUUUAUUGUCAAUGCGCACAUGGCGACACCAAAAUCAUUAACUUUAGAGUGGAAUUCCUUAGUCUUGUGACGUACGAAAUAUACCCAAUUCCACCCUUACAAUAUGCUUGACAUGCAAUUGCAUUCAUUGUACUUCUUUUUCUUUUUGCUCCCUCUGUUGGUAGCAGGGGAUCUGCUUUUCGAUUGAAUAUGUCCAUUUAUCUAUAACGUCUAGAUGAAGAAACAAUGUUAUAUGUCCAGGUAUAACAGAGCAAAAAGAUGGAGCAAAAUUGAUUUUCCAUUGAAAAUGUAGGAUGUGUUUUGACAGCUUAAUUACGUUUUCAUCCCCCCAACACAUGCAAUUUCCUUUCUCUAGUUAAUUACUUAAAAAAUAUUUAAAAUUUAUUUUUCAUAUAUUAAAAUAUUAACAAUAAAUUAUUUUCUAUAUUCUUAUUGAUUUGAAGAUUACUUGAAUGUUUAUUUGUUGCUUUAUAACACCAUCUCUAAAAUGGAGAUUUUAUUUCUCAAAAGUACUUUUUAACAACAAUAAUAAACACUUAAAUUUUAAACAAACUUUGUCAAAAGUAUUUCUGAAAAUCACUGUUUUAAACACUCUUUAAAAACUCUAUUCAAAAACAAUGUUAAACUAGCCCUUAAUGUACAAUAUCUCGUUUGGUAUAAUGAGUAAUUCAGUUGAAAAAAAAAACUCAAAUUUUAAAUUUAAAAAUAAUAAACUUUUUAUAAGAAUAUUUAUAUCUUUUAGUAUAUUUAUAUAAUAUUUGGUGAGCGGCAAGGCAAGAUAAACUAUGGCUUGAAAUGUAUAUGGACAGUUAAAUUCAGAGAGAUGGAAAUCAGAAUCUUGUUUAAACAGCAUUAAACAUAGACAGGUUAGGAAUAUUUAGGAGAGAAAAGGAUGUGAACUCAUGAAACCUGAAAGUGUGAAAUUUAAUAUAUAAAGUAUACAAGUAGCAAAAUUAGCUAACAAGCUCUAACUAAGCUAUUGAUUGGUGUUCCCAAUCCUUGAAAUCCCUCCCACAGAGGUUUUGAUUUUAAGCAUUAAUGUACGUAUCUAUGCAACAACACAAAAGAGGAACAAGGCCCUCUUUCACAACCCUGAACUGCCACAUUCCUCUUCAGCAAUGGUCUCCAAUCUGGGACACCUUGAAUGUUUCUGGUGAGCUAUCAAAAGGGCUGGUGCCACUUCACCUCAGUUUUGCAUCGCCAUUUUAUUUGUGUGAAGCAAAAAUGCUUGGAAGAAAGAAGGCGAUGCUGAGCAAUGGAAAUGUUAUUGCUGCCAAAAUCCUGAGGAACCUAUAUGAAGUUACCUAAUCUAUAAUGAGGCAAAGGUCUUGAAAUGUAUAGAAACAGUUAAAUUCAGACCCAGUGCUAAGUUUAGAACAUAUUAACUAAAGGAGUUGGAAUAGGAAAGAAGUUCUAAAAUUAGAGAAUUAUUGACCAAAUCUGAACAUGGGGUUUCACCAAAUGUGCUUGACCAUAUUGAAAAAUCACAGAAUAGAUCAUCUGGCAGUCCAUGUGUAUCAAAUGAAAAUGAGAAGCAAUCCCAGAUGGGGUUGGUGAUGGUGAAUUAACAGAACAUUUUCUGGUUGAAGGAAAUUAGGAGUUGCACCAAUCCUGAUAAUGGUCUAACAAAUAACAGAAAGAAAUAAAAGUUGUAAUAGGUCACAACUUGAGUUCAAUUCUUCCCGAAUUUGUAAGUAUCAUUCAUGGUUCUAAUUAUUCGUGGUCAUUAUUUCUUGUUUGGGGAUGUAUUGAGUAGGAGGUGACUGAAACUUCUGAUUACUAGAGUUAAAGGCCUUGAAUGCGAUGAUUGAGAGGGAACUAAGAUAGUGAAGGAAAGGAAAAAAUUCAUAUAACAUAAAAGAGGAAACAGCGGCCAAUAUUUUCCACUUGCUGUUCAAUACACAUGAUCAUCGAGGAAAAGACUAGUCUUUGGUGCCUUAUGGUGGGAAAAAUUAAUGUGCCAUAAUUAACACUCGAUUUAAGCACUUUUUAAGAGUAAUAUUAAAUAAUUAAAUUUUAACCCAAGUUUUUAAAGCUCACUUUUCAUAAACAUAGGUAGAAUAUCGUAUCUCUUCUGGGUUUUGUAUCCCUUGAUUGAUAUACCUAUUUGUAUUCAUACAUAUGCAAUUGGAAUGUAGGUAUAGUUGUAUGUAUGUAUGUAUGUAUGUAUAAAAGAUAUUUUAUUAGAGCGAAAAUUCUCAAAAAUAACGAAAGAAAACUGAAGAAGUAUACAUAAACAACAUGUAUUAAAUUCCAACAUCAAGCAAAGUGUGUAUACAACAAAAGAUAAGAGAGAAAAGAAAGGGAGAAAGGAAAUAGAAGGAAAAAGAGAGUGUUGUGCUGCUCAACCUCAAACUUGAAUUGAGAGGUUUCUUCAAAAAUGGUCUCUAAGCUUGGAGAAGUAGAUGGCUUGUUGUGAGAAAUGAAAAGGGAUGGUGCCUUCUCACAACUACUUUCCAAGUGUUUCACACCCUUCAUCUUUCCUCCAACGAAAUUUUCUGAUUUGUCUUUUUGGCCUUUUUAUUUGUAGAAUGGGGGGAGGCAAACACAACCUGAGAGACGAAGAAACCUUGGGCAUUGGUUGAAGAAAUGGUAAGAGUGGUGGGUUGGUUUAAAAAGGAGAAAUAAAAGCCUGGGAAAUUACAAGGAAAGUUGGCUGCAUAAUCUUAGGGUUGACAGCAAGCCAUGUGACAAACGUUUGAAUAUGUCAAAUGGGCAUUUUAUUUAAACAAUUAACUUUGACUCCUAAAUAAUGAUAUGCCAGAAAGUGACAAUCACCGCGUUUCUUAAACUUCUAGACUCUACCCAAACCAAAUUAAGGGGUUAACUCAAACAUUUACUCUCUUUUUUCACUUUUAGCCCUAUUUUUCCAAUUUUCAAAUUUUAGUUAAAUUGUCUUUUCUUUAAUUAAAAUUUUAAGACUUAAUAUAUUGUUUAUACCCUGAACUUGUAUUCAGUCACCUAAAUUUGUACCUCCACACUAUAUCACUAAAAUUUUGAUUAAUAUGUAGUUUAUCCCUUGAACUUGUCCAAAAGUAUCUAUCUGGUAUUUAAAUUUUUUUUUACCUAAUUGGUAUCUGAACUUGUAUUCUGUCACCUAGGUUGGUACCUUUGCACUAACACUGUUAGUUUGUGUUGAUGUGACACUGAUGAUUAAUCAUAUAAUGACAUGUGACAGUCUCUUAGUAUGACACGUAGACAUAGAUUAAAAAAUUAAAAAUCCUUUAAAAGUAUAAAUCAAUUUAAAAAGUAUAAUUUUUUAAACAUAUUUAAAUACCAACUAAAUAAUUUUGAACAAAUUCAAAGCUCAAACCAAAUAUUAACCCUUAAAAAUUAAUACUAAGAGAUCGGGGCAAUAGAAUAUAUGUUCAAAUGCGACGAAUCAUGGUAUGGUUUUCCAGGAUUUUGGAAAACAACUAAAAUUGAGCUUGGGUCUAGCCCAUUACUUUUAUUUGUUGGGUCUUUAAAGGUCUAAAUUUUGACAAUGGAGAAUUUUAUUUUAUUUUUUUAAUAUGGUAUUUGUAUUUUUUUUUAGUUUAAUUUGACAUUUAUAUUUGGAUAUUUUCGUACCCAAAAUUAAUGGUGUUAAUUUUCUAGUGUUUAACUCUGUCUUUAAAGUUGAUUUGAUAAAAAUUAAUUGCUAAAUUAAAUAAAUUUAGUGUAAACUGUGAAUUUAUUUAAUUUGUCGAAUACAAUCCGAUGGAUGUGAUAUAAUUUGGGCUUUAAGGCUGAUUUGAUGAAAAUUAAUUAUUAAUUAUUAACUAUUUAUGAAUUCUCAUCAAAUCAAUUCUAAAACCAGAAUUAAACACUAAAAAGAAUUAACAUUGUUACUCUCAGGUAACAAAAUGUAUAACUUUUCUCAAAUACAAAUAACACAUUGGACCAAAAAAUAACACAUGUACCAUAUUAGAAAAAAGUGUUAAACUCGAGUAUCAAAUUAUGUAUUAAGCCUUAUUAUUUAUCAUUAUUAUUUUAUUUGCCUAACUCGGCCAUCAACGUCUUCUUUUGUAGAAGUUUGAGAAAACAAAAGGGAUAUAUAAUUUUUGACCCCUAAACUUGAUAACUAAGUCCAGUUUGGUACCUAUAAUUUUUUUUAUCUACUUUGGUACCCAAACCUAGCAACUAAAUUCAUUUUGGUCCUUAAACUUGAAAAAUAUAAAAGUUUGAUGAUGUGACACUCUAAUAUUAUGCAACAUCAUCACUUGAAAAAAAGAACUUAUAUAAAUUUUCAGGUGAUAAAUGUUAGGAUCUUGUGUGCUUAGUGUAAUGAUAUUGUCAAAUAUACUUGUAAUUUUUUAAACAAAUUGGUUUGAUAAAAUUACAUCAUUUCUAUUAAUAUCUUUUGUGUAUUACCCUUAAUGGUUUUUUGCACUCAAAACAAAAUGAAAGUAUUAGCUCAUUGAUUAUUUAAUGUUUAACUAAUAUUAAGUUGCAUUAUGUGGUUGGAUAAUAAUGCGAAAAGGCAAUUUGUAUUAGUAGAUUAUCUAAAUGGUCUAUAGUCUAAUAGAAAAUUGAGCAAAUCGAUUAAAAGGAUCUUAUGUCAUCUAUCAAAUCCAAAUUAGGGUAUACCUUACCUUGGGUAUAAUAAUGAAUUACUUUCAGAAGAUAAAGACAUAAAUGUGACUAUCUAGACUGACUAUACAUCGAACAGGACCCAAGAUAAAUCCUAGAUCUGUUUAUGGAUUUAUUUAUUUGUGACAUUUAUAAUGUGACUUACCUUAAUCCUGAGUAAGUAGUGGUGUAACACCCCAAAAAAUUUCAAUGUCAUUAAUGGUAAUAUUUCGGGAAUAAGGAUCAUAACAUUUCUAAGAGAAAGAAUUUACAUUUAUUAAAAAUAUUUGUGGAGUUAGUUAGAUACUGAAAAAGAUUAUUAAAGUUGAUAAAGUAUAAUUUAUUUUGACAUGUUGGAUUUAUUUUGGAAAGUAGAAGUGCUUAAUGAGCUUUUUCUUUUUUCAGUUUAGGAGGUUGAAUAACAAUUUAGGAGGUUGAAUAAUUUAUAAAGGAAUAAAUUGUUAAAUGACUUAUAAAGUAAUAAAACAUGUGAUAAGAGGUGAAUUUAAAAAUUGAAAAAAAAAUAAGAAAAUAUGGGUUUUAUAAGAGCCAUCGGAUAAAAAUUGUGAUUAAUUUUGGCCAUUAGAGCUCAUUAAUGGCAAAGUAUAAUUUUUCAAGAAAGUGUAUAGGAGCUAAUUUAAGUCAUUGAAUUUGAAAUUUUAUGUGUAAUCUUCACCAUUUGUAACACCCUUGACCCGUAUCUAUCGCCGGAAUAAGGUUUCAAAGCAUUACCGAAAUUUUCAAAUAAAACAGACAGAAAUUUCAAACAUUUCACAACAUAUAAUAUUCAGAUCAGAAACCAAUCAAAUUCAUACAUAUUGUCCCUUAUUCGAGCCCUCGAGGCCCAAAAUAUGUGUUAGAAAUAAGUUGGGACUAAUUUGGAAACUCAGAAAAAUUUUCAAAGUUGCAGGGUUCACACAGCUGUGUAGCCCAAGUCGUGUGACUCACACAGCCAAGUUACACGCCCAUGUAUCUGACCAUGUGGGCAUUCGAAGUAAGGACACACGGCCGUGUCCCAGCCCAUGCCGGUGCCCGUGUAACUCUCUAACUUGGGUCACACUGCCAAGCCACGCGCUCGUGUGCUGGAUCGUGUACCAUUUUGAAAUGGUCUCACACGCCCGUGUGCUAGUCGUGUGUCUCACACAGCCAAGUCACACGCCCGUGUGUCUGGCUGUGUGGACGUAAAAGGUGCCUUAAAUAACCAAUUUACCAUUUUCUACAUGCUCGGGCAUUAAACAACUUAAAAACCAUUUGUUUAACCAAUUCAAAACAUGAUCAAAUACGUUCAAAACAUACCAAAACAAUCAUCCUAGGUGCCUAACCAAUGUACCUUCAUUGGUACCACAUUUAUAUCAUCAGAACAUCAUUCAAAUCCAAAUUAUAAACAUACCAAAUUCAAUCUAUUUUGCCUAGUUCACAUGCACAUAUCUAAAUUUGGUUCAAUUUAUCAUGCCAUAAUAUGGCUUCAAAAACAAAAACAUGUUUAUAUAUAUACCAAACCAACAUUAAACUUAUAACCUCAUUUACAAUCAAUCCAUAAAAUAACUAUUAUUUAGACACCCUAGGUACAUGCCGACACAAAAGGUAAACAUCACCACAUUUGAGUUCGGGAUCAUUGUUGGAUUCUGAAUCAGCAAUCAAAAGUGAAGUAUCUAACCUGUGCAUCGAAAAAAAAACCGUACGCUGAGUAAAACUCAGUGGUAUUUCUAUGAUCCAGAUAUUUAAAGACAAGAUAAUAUAAUAUGCACAUAUUAAUUAUAAGCACAAUCGAAUAUUUAAAACCACAUUUAUUCAUACAAUGGCAUUAGCCAUUUAAUACUUAAUUCAUAAAUACCAUACUCAAUUCUCAUCACUUGCUAUAUAAUAGUUUUUCACAUUCUAUUUUCAAUUCACUAUAUCACUUCCAUAUCUCAUACUAUGCCAUAUCAUUAUCAAUUAUAGAACUUUAUUAUUUAUUUACCCCUAUUAACACGAAUCGGACUCGGAUGGAUACACGGAUCCAACCAAUACACCAACUUGGCACCCAGUGCUUCAUCGAAUAAAUCUGAAGUAGUAAUUGUGCCCAUCGCUAUAUAAAUUGACACCCAGUAUCUCAUUGGUUAAACUGAACCGAAGCAAAUUGGCACCUAGUGCCUCAUCGACUCAAAGUCGAAGAAAUCUCUGAACUCUUCCUAUUCUAUGGCAUGCCAUUUAUAUCCGACUUAGCCCGAUAUAGUUAAUAGGGUUCCAAUUCACUUUCCAAAUACAACCAAUAUCCAACUAUCAUAUUUGCACAAUAUCACAUUUACACAUAUAUAUUCAUAAUAUAUAUAUCAAUUCAAUCCAAUUCAAUCAAUUUUAAUUCAAUUAAAUAUCAAAAUACCAAAUAUAUUUUUCAUAUAAUCCCAUAUACACAUGAAAUCAAUUCAAUAUUCAAAGUGUCAAAUACUCACCUCAACCACUUACCAUAUACAUUAAAUUAAAAUACAACAAUUAAUAACUAGGUUUAGAUUAUAGAAAUACAAACCAGGAAUUUCAAGCUAUUCGACGUCGAUUUUAUCUUUCCCCUUUUUAGUCAAGGAUUCCAGUACGACGUUAGCUAAGGAAUUAAAACAAUUAAAAUUCAUCAAUAUAAUACAAUUCAAUUUCAUAUUAAAUAUUUCAAUUUUUACUCAAUAUUUGCCUAAAUUUCAAUUUAGUCCCAAAAUCAAAACUAAUUUUUAUUCUUCACAUUUAAUUUUGUAUUUUUAUACAAAUUUCACUUUGAACUAAAUUUAACUCCCUAUUUUCACUUAAACCCCUAAAUUUCAAAAUUUUCACAAUUUAGUCCAUAUUAUUCAAAAUUUAGAAUUUAUUCUACAAUUUAAUCAUUUUUCACUUCUUGCUUAAAAAUCUAUCAAUUUAAUCCCUAAUACUAAAAUUAUUCAAAAUUAACAGCACUUAAAAACUUAAUAAUUGCUAAAAUUUCGACAUGAAUCAAGUAAUACUUAACACCGAAAUUUCAAAAACAUACGAAUUACAAAAAAAAAGACUAAAUUAACUAACCACUUGAUAACUUUUGAAGCCCUUAGGCCGUGCGUCUGCUUCUUUCCUUUUUUUCUUUCUAAUUUUGGUUUGGCCUUAUCUUUCUUUUUCUUUUAACACUUAUUUGUUUUAUUAUUAUAUAAUAUAUAUACUUAACAAUUAAGAUUUCAUAUUAUAAUAUAAUAUAUAAAUUAAAUUUACAUAUAAUAUAUAUAUCACUAACUGUACCACUUAAAGACACAAUGGUAAAAUUGCUUCUUUAGUCCCUUUAAUUAUUCUUUAAUCUAUAAUUCAACUUUCAUGCAAUUUAGUCUUUAUACUUAAUUACUUUUAAUUUAUGCAAAUUCACUUAACCGAAAUCUAAUUAACUACACAACUAGCUUUGUAGAUAUUUAUUAAAAAUAUUUACGAGUUUGAUUUAAGGGAACGGAGUCUCGGGAAUGCAUUUUUUUCAAUUUGGUUCUUUUUAAUUAAUUAAUUAUCGAAACGUUAAAAUUUUUCAAUGAAACUUUAAUACCACAUUACGACUAGGCUUAUAAAAACAAGGUCCCGAUACCUCAUUUUCUAAAACCACUUGAACUUAAUAAAUCACUUAUAUAACAUAAAUUAUCAAAUCAAAGAUCUUUUUAAAAAUCGCAUUUGACUCAUAAAUAUUAAAUAAUAAUAUUUAAGAACUUACUCGUCGAAUUUGGUGGCCCCGAAACCACUAUUUUCAACACCACUUAAAAACGGGUUAUUACACCAAUAAUGUUAGAGGGGUUUUGAACCACUUUUAAGAGUGAUUUGUAGCCUACAGAUCAAAUGACUCAACUUUACUUGCAACCAUUGGAUCUAUUGAUCAAAUGAGGAUUUUAUACAUAGUUUUAUGAGAUGAAAAAUGGAAAAACUCCUCCCCAAUUUUCUGUUUCACGUUGGCUGCUUGAAAUUGAGAAGAAGAAAAAAACUCUCUUUUUCCAUUUCAUUUUCAUCUCCCUUCAUCCCCUUUCAUCCCCAUUCAAGUCUCCACUUGAAGCCUUAAUAAAUUUCUUGAAAACCCAUGAAAAUCCUACUUUCUAGACUUUUUUAAGUUUAUUUUCAACCCUAGAAUCCAUGAAUAUAAAGAAGAAAAUCUAGAGAAAAUUUAGAAAGCAUGAAAAGAUUAAUGAAGCAAAAGGUUGAGAAUAUUAGGAAUCUCAAGAAUGGACGAUUAGUGAGUAGUGUCAAUUUUGAGCUUGAUAAGGUAUGUGCUCUCUUGAAUUUCAUCUUACCAUUGAAUAUUUAUGUUUGAAAGUUUAACAAAAUGUCUAAAGCUUUUAUGAAGUGUUUUAGAAGUGGCAAAAUGGCAUAGGACUUGUUUGUGGCAAAUGUGUUGAAUGGAUUUGAGAAAUGAAAUCAUUAGCAAGUAUGUGGAUUAAACUAAUGGACAAGGAAAUGAAAAAUACUAUGAAUUGUUAUAAUGUAAGUGUGAUUGUCUACACGACAAACACUUCUCCAUACAUUUACAAAUAUAUAAAAGAAAUGUUUUUAUAUUCUUUUUGAAAACAUUAUUUUUAAUUUUUUGGAUUAAAUCACUAUUUGGGGCCUGAACUUGGUAAUUUUUCUUAUAUUGGGGUUUGAAUUUUUUUUUUGUUUAAGUUAAAUCCUAAAUUUAACAGUUAUUUCCAUAUUGGGGUUUGAACUUAACAACUUUUCCCACAUUGAGCCUUGAACUUCUAUUUUUUUGUCCAAGUUAGGCCUUGAACUUGGCCAUUGUUCUCACAUUGAAGUUUGAAUUUAGCAAUUGUUUCCAUAUUUGAUCUAAACUUUAGAGUUUUCAAUGACUAAUUUUGUAACUGCCCAUUUUUCAAUGGUGUUAGAAACAGUGGUUUCGGGACCACAAUUCUAACGAUUGAGUCUGUAAAUAUUAUUAUUUAAUAUUUACGAGUCAAAUAUUAUGAUAUAGUGAAUUUUGAUAUGAUUAUUUCAUUUAAUUGGAUAAUUAGUUAAGUACAAGUGGUUUGUCCCUAAAGUCAAGUGAUUUUGAACAAUGAAGUAUUGGAAUCUCAUUUCUAUAAACCAAUCCCGUAAAUAUUUUAGAUGUAUUAAAAUUUGAUCCAAAAAUUUUGACAUUUGGAUAGUUAAGUAAGGAAAAGGACUAAAUUGUAAAAGUCAUAAAAUUUAAUCGCUAUUAAUUUAUUUGAGUUAAUUAGCUAUGAAACCAUGGUUGAGGGAUUUAAAUGAUAUUUAACCCAUAAUUAAGCAUAAUGAACGAUUGUGUUUGUCUAUAUUAUAAUAAUAUGUUAAUUUUUAUAUUUUAAAAUAAUCAUUAAAAGUUAAAUAGUAAACAAAAGAAAAGAAAAACAAAUUGGCUUAUCAUCUGCAACCUCCAAGCCGAAUGUGAACAGAAAAAUAAUCCCUAACUCUCCUCCAAGUUUAAAUCUUCAGUUAGUAAGUGAUUUUUAGCUCGUUUUUUGUAAUUUUUAUAUUUUUUAGAUCAUUGCAACUAGGUUCAACUAACUCGUAACUCCGACUUCAAAACUGUUAAAGAUUUUAAAACUUACCAUUGAUGAAACUUAGAUGUUCUUGAUAGAAAAUGGUAGAUUUGGAAGCUAUGAAAUGUUUAAGGACAAUUUUAUAAAAUGAUUUUUGUUAAUUUUGAAUAUAAGGACUAAAUUGUUAAUAUCUUGAAAUUGAUAUAAAAUUUAUGUGUUUUUUUGAUAAUAGGUGGUUGUAAUUGAAUUUAUUUGAAAUUGUUUGAAGUCCAAAUUUGAAAUUUAUGAUAAGUUUAAUUUUAGGGACUAAAUUGAAUAAAAUAUAAAAGUUUAGGGAAAUUGUAUAAAAUGAAAUUAAAAUAUUUUAAGCAUGAAUUUGAAUAUUAUUAUGAUAGUGAUAUUGAUAUUUUGAAUAUUAACUAUCAUAUAGAUCAAGUUGUUGACUUAGGUAAGAAAUGAAAAACUAUCAAAUAGUCUCUAUUAGCUAAACUGCUAUGAUUUUGUCAGGUAAGUUCAUAUAAUAUAAAUAGGUUUAAAUUGUUGUUGAAUUAUAUCUAAAAGUAUAUUAAUUUUUUAUUAAUUGUUUGAAUUUUAUAUGAAUUGUUACAUAAAUUGAUGAUUUAAUUGAAUUGAAAUGGAUUGAUACAAAUGGAAAUGUUACGGUUAAAUCCCAAUGAAUUUAGUAAAAGUCUUGUACAUGAGGAUACAAGUUUAUUUCUAAUGGUACCAAGCUCCAGUAUUUGUUGCGGACUCGAAGAUGCAUAUGACACAGGUUUAGCUUGAACUGGUAAUUUGUUGUCGUUUUAAAGAUUUAGCCUGGACUAGUAACCUUACAUGUAUAUACAGCUCUAGUCAGGCUAUUUACUGUGUCAUUAAAGGUUUUGCCCGGACGAGUAACUAACAUUGUUGUAAAUGAUUAGCUCGAACGAGCAUCAUACGUUAUUUGCACCUGUGUAUUGAGUUCUUUUACAAAGUUUCAUUGGAUAAAAAUUAUAAAUAAAAAGGUAAUGAUAUAUCAAAUGUUGGCAAAGUAAUGUAUAUGAUUUGGAUAUAGGAUAUAAGAUGGUUUGAAAUGAAAAUGUAAACAAUUUGGGUUGUAUAUGUGAUUGAGCUCAAAACCUUAUAUGUAUAAUGAUGUUGUUUGAAUCUUGAUAAGGGUAUAUGAUGCCAAUUGAAGGGUGAAUGUGAGCAAGAUGAUCGAUUAGAAUACGAAUUUAUAUUAUAUUUUAAGUUGAAUAUGGUGUUUCACCAUUUGAGUUUACAUAUUUGAAUUUGGUUUAAACCUCACUUGAUUGAUGUUGUUUUUGGAUGCCAUGAUAAGUGAAAUUAUUUCAUAUUAAUUAAUGUAUUUGUUAAAUGGUUGAGGUAAACUAUUUGUUUAUAUCGUAUGAGCUUACUAAGUAUUUUAUAUACUUACUCGUGUUAUUACUUUUAUGUAGAUUUUGGACAUCCGGAACGUGUUGACUGGAUCAGCAAGAAGCUUACACCCAUCAACUUUUGAUUUGGUAGAUUUUUUAUGUUUGAAGUUGGUUACUUGUGGCAUGUGCGUAGGUUGAAUGAACUUAAGCUAGUUAAAGUCUGUUUUAGUAUAAUAAAGUCUAGUUUAUUAUAAUAACAUUGUAUAUGUAAAUCUAUGGUUGUGGCUUAAUAUUGGUUAUUUGGUAUUUGCUAAGUUUAGUAUGCUUGAAUGUUAAAGAAAUGACAAAGCUUAAUUGAUAAUAUGCAUGUGAAUUGAAUUGUGGUAUGAAUUGUGGUUUGAAUGGUGUAAAGCUUAAUUGAUAAUAUGGUGUAAUUGAUAUUGGUUUUUUUUUCUCAAGAUAUUUACUGGAGCGAGCCUAGUAAUUAAUUCUCCUCAUUCUGUAGACUCAUUAAGGGGUAGAUGUCGGCCAUGAGUUUUACAGUUACUUCAUACCUAGGGUAAGGAUCAAACCCUUGACCACUAGUUAAGGUAGAAAAGACCAUUGCCAUCUCACUUAACUCUCGUGGUUUGUUUCAUAAAGAUCCUUGCCAUCUCAUCUAACUCUCAUGAUAAUUUUAAUUCUUGAUUUUACAAUGGCAAUAAAAAAAAACCCCCCAUUUCAUAAAGAUCAUGCUCAUCACCCCUUACCCCCCCCCCCAAAAAAAAUAGGAAAUUCACUUCUUCGAUUCCAUGGUCAUAAAGUCUAUUAUUCUUGAAAGCAUUGAAAAGAUAAAAUUUUGGCUUUUGUAAAAAACUUAGGACAUGGUUGGAAGAGCAGUGGUGAUAGAGAUGGAGUGGAGAUGAAAAAUUAGGGAUUAUGAAAAAAAAUGGAAGAAAAGGACAAAUUUAUUGAAUGGUGAAAGAGAUGGAGGAGAGAGCAAAAAAUAGGAAUGGUGAUGAAUAUGGGGAGAGAAGGGUGUUUUGAAUAACAAGAGAAAAAUUGAAUGGAGAUGGAAGAUAGAGGAAAAGACGUGAAUGGUGGUAAAGGUGGAGUAAAGUGCUAAAGAUUUUUGAAAAAAAAUUAUGAAUAUAUUAAACAAAUAUUAUUUAAUAAUUAAACUAGUUAUUAUAAAAUAUAUAUAUCAUUAGUAUAUGUGUCACUAUGAGAUUUCCUAAAUUUGCCGUAAAUAAGAAAAAGUUAACGGGGUUGGUUGUAAAGACUAAUGCAUAUGUAACUAUUAUGUUCGAUUAAGUUCCAAUUCGAAAAAAAAUUGUCAAGUUUAAGGGUCAAUCAGUAUAUUAAGUUUUUAAUAAUUUAUUAUGUUUAUUGGAAUUGACUUAAGCACCACUAAGCAUAAAAGUAAGCUUAGUGCAUUGAUUGUUUUUCCACGCUAGGUUAGAGAUCGGACAUAAGGAGAUAGUUAUAAAAGUUCUGCAUCGAGCCGAGUCGCAUCACAUAAAAGUGUAAUCAUGUUCGAGUCCUUUAUAUUGUAUAAGUUAAUGUCAGUGAAGCAUAUAUGUAGAAUAUUAUUGUGUUACUAAAUUUUAAUAUAUUUAUAUAAGUGACAUUGGUAAUUCAUUUGACACUAUCGUCCAUUGGUUAUUGAAUUGAAUUGCAAAAAUUUAAAAAUUUGGCUUUUACUGACAGUGAUCACCAAAACAUAUUUCUUAAAGUUUGUACAUGUGUUAAAGAAAAGUUGUAAGUACCUUCAGGCAUUAGGUGUAGCGUCGUUUAUCUGGAACCGUUGACGGUCUAGGUAAGGAGUGUUACAGACGGACUAUGUGUGUGUGACUCGUGUACUUUGAGGUAUUACAAGUCUUACCUCAAUUGAUAAUGGAACCAAAAUUUGGUAUAUGUUGGAAAAUUUGGUUUGAAAACAAUGUUUAGAAGCACAACGAAUUUUUUUUUUAAAUCAAGUUGUUGUGAUAUUUAUAGCAAUAAAUCUAUUAACCAAAUUAUACAUGUGUUUUUAAAUCAGGUAGACUUAGUUGUUUCACGCUUUCUACUAUUUAAUCUUCCCCACUAAUCUUAACCCUGGUUCGAAAUAGUGUUAACUGAGCAUGUAAAAUAAAUUUCAAAUAUUUUUAAGCAAUUAAUUUGAAUUGUUUGUAAAAUUUAAUUUAAAUGUCUAAAUUAUAUUUUAAAUAUUAAAAACAAUUAUUACAUUUCAAAUAUAUGAUGUUAUAUAUAUUUUUUAAUUUUAUUUCUAUAAAAUUAGAAAAUCAUGUGAGCCAAAAAUGCAAUAGACUUUUUGUAACCCUAAAUUAUUCGACGGAACCAGAAAAACAUGACGGACCCUUAACCCAAAAUGGAUGACGAUCGGAUGAUGAAUGGCAAAUCGUUGUGGGUGAUGGCAUGGGACGCCGCAUGGUGCAUAGCCAGCAGAUGUGAGGUACACGAACUACCGGGUCAUCACACCAUGGUUGAACGACCAGGCACGCAGGAGAGCCAAGGCGUCGUGCCCUAGUUCAGUGUGUGAACAUGCAAGGUAGACCGGGCCUUGCGCCCAGGUAUAAUGCUCCAGCCGCAAGGAAGAACCGGCAGAAGGCUGAGGCAUUGCACCCCAAUCAGACUAGUUAGGCGCACGGCACCGAGGGAUGUGUGUGUGCACCAACAACCAGCCGUGAUAUUGUUGGAUACUUGCCUAAUAGUAGUAUUUGGCUUGUGUGUUGAGUUGCUAAUGUUUUGUGAUGGUAUAAGGAAAUUGGUAGAUUUUUUAUUGUUUUGCUCUCUUUGUGAGCUUGGUUUUUGUAUAAUUGAACUUUCGGUGCUUUUAUUGAGAGUCCUUGUUGUAGUGUUUGGUUGCUUUCAAGAGUAUAGUAUUUACAUGUGAAGUUGCAUCUUCUUUCUGGUUAAAGAGCGUGUUCAUUAGAUUGAAUUAUUAUGUAGUUUGCCACAGUGUUUUUAACAACUUCACCCUUUUGUAUUUUAAUAAAAUUUGAUUAUGGCCAAUAUAUAUACUUUAAGAACCAUCGCCUACUGCAAGCCUGGUUUCACAUUCUAUGAUUUCCUUCCAUUUUACAUUAACGAAAAUGUUACAGACGAAAAAGCUGCUGAGUAAUGCCUCAUACUUCAACAAUAUUAAGACGUGUCUUGAGGGGUUGAUGAACAUAAAAAGUUAUUCAUUAGUAAGAUUAGAUGUUAUUGAUGAUAGAUGAAAAGAGAGUUUUAAAAAUCAAGAUUUCAAUUACAGUACAGUAUUUAUUUAACAAUUACUUGGUUUCCCACAAUGGCCUCAUCCCCUGCAAGGUAGUAUUUCACAAAUUUAUACCCACAAAAGCAUUCAUGCAUGUUUAUGUUCAUCAAGCUAUGAACAUCUCUAAGCACACUUGCAAUUAUGACUAAAUGAUGGCAACGGCUUCUUAACUUGGAAGAAACAAGUGGAUAAAAAGGAUGAUGGUGGUGGUGGUGAUGGUGAUGAACUUGACGGCACUUCCAUGCUAAUUUCUCCUUCAUUUUCUUCUUCAUGAAUGGUUUCCAAUGUUAUAUGGGUAUUGUGGAGCCUAGGGACCGCAAUAAAACGAGCUGGCACGACGGCGGAGAAGGGAGUGAGCGCUGGAGUCUCAGCCUUGGGAGGGCAGAGUAUUUUCUGGGAAGUGGAGACUGAGAAGAUACCAGCCAUGCUUAACUUCUUUUUGUAGUGGAGAAUUUGCCUAUGAAUUUCGUUGUAUGAUGAGGGAAUGAAUGUCAACAAAUGUGGCAUUCUAUACUCCAUUUAUAUAGAAGUUGUAAUGGUAGCAUGCCCCUUACUUUAUUUAAAAUUUUAAAGGUAUUAUCAUUUUUUAUGGGUAAAUUAUACCCAAGGUCACUAAAUUAUUAGUAAGUUUACAUUUUGAUCCCUUAACUUUAAAAAGUUAUAAAAUGGCUAUUGAAUUAUUCGAAAGCUUUCAUUUAAAUCAUUAAACUAUUCAAAAGUUUUUAUUGAAGUCAUUAGACUGUUAAAGUUUUUGUUUUAAAAAAAAAAACUUGGCUAGAGAACUCUAAAUGACUAUUCGAAAUUGAUACAAUGGAUCAAUACUCAUCGUCAAGUAGAAGAGCAUACCUUAGAUCCAAGUCAAUUUGACAGUUAGUGUUGAAGAUCGAAGAAGAAAACUGUUUGGAUUUUGGUUUGCAAAUUUGUGGCUUUCAAAAUUGUUUCAUGAAAAAAAACUAAAUUGUAGAAGAGAAACAAAAAGAGAGCUUUCGAUUGGUGCAGACAAUGUGAAUAGAGAAGUUCAUACAACAACAAUUUUAACAGCCCAAUGACUUAAAUGAAAAUAUUUAAAUAGUUCAAUGGUAAUUUUAUAACUUUUUUGAAAUUAAUACCAAAUCAUAAACUUACUAAAAGUUUAAUGACCCCGUACAUGUGGUUUAUCUUCUUUUUUUCUAAUAACUGUCGUAAAAUUAUUGAAAAUUUAAUUUUUUUUGUCGAGAAAUUAUUUAUUUUUUAACCAUUGAAUGCUAUCUUUUAAGAACGGUUGAAUGUCGGGGCAAAUACAUAAAUAUGAUCUAAAUAACACUGAAGAGAAUAAUAUAAAUUAAAGUAACAAUAAAAUUAUUUUGAAAUACUUUUAUGAAACUAGAAAUCUUAUUACACAUAUAUGUGUGUGGAAACCACAAAUUUAGAAUAUAGAUGUGUGUUUAAAAAUAACAUACAAUAAAUAAUAAUAAUAUAUAUGGGUUGAAAUUAAUUAAUCAUAAUAACACAUGAAAUAAUAUGUAUCAUAAUAAAAUGUAUAAAAAAUUUAGAUUAAAUUGGGAGUAUAUAUAUAUAUAACUAAUGGAGGUAAUAAAACAUACAUAAUAAAAUAAAAAUGUGUAAAAAAAUCAACAUGAAAUUCUAGUUUAGUGGUAAAUUUAAAAUUUUACUAAUUUAAUUAGCUUUAGUUCGAAUUUUACUAUAAGUAUAUAAAUUUUUUAAAAUUAAAAAAAAUUAAACUACCUUCAAAUAAUAUAAUUUAUUUUAAAUAUAGAAAAUUAAAUUAGGACACGAUUAAUAAGUAAAAAAAGCGUAAUUAAUAAAAGGUUUCAAAGGGCUUACAGUCCAUAUCGAGCAUAUUGGAGAGUUAAAGACUUUGUGCUAUCCAAGGUUGUUUGAUUGGAUACAAAUAAGUUACUAAAUAUUAAAUUGCAAACAAUAAAUGAGUGUCUUAUCAUGAUUUAAAAAUGAGGGGACUAGCGCGUAUCUUAAAUUUUAUUAUAUGUUCCGAUUAUAUUUAUUUAUUUUAUAUAAUAUUUAUAAUUAUUUAUAGUCUUUUCUUAACUUAUAGAUAAAUAAUGCGCUUCAACGCACUUGAACUUACGUCCUCCUAUAUUAAUAAUGAUGUUCAUAUCAAUUGAAUUAAGAAACUUUACCGUAUUUAUGUUUAGGUUUGAUAUCAUUCUCUCUUGAAUUUAUUUAGUCAUAUAUUUGUUGAAAUUAAUAUAUUGUUUAUGGUUUUAUUUAAAAUUUAUUAUUUGAUUGUAAUUUAGUAAUAAAGUCAAUAAUAAAGGGUAAUUUCAUCAACUCAAAAGUUUCUUUAAAAUUUAUAUUUUUAUAUAUUUUAGUUUUUAAUAUCACAUGUGUUGCACGUGAUUUUAUGUAUUUUAAAUUUAGUAACUAGUCUUUUGAACAUAACUAAAUCUAAUGUUACAUGUGGUGCGUGUGAUUUUAUGCAUUUAAUAUUAAUUUUUUUAAUAUUUUAUUUUUAAUUGCGGUAAUUAGUAUAAAAUGAUAAUUCUUAUUUGAAUUAUUGAAUAUGGUUAAAAUAUAUUAACUUAUCAUUUCAAAUAUUAUAAUAUAAAAUUUUCAAAUAAUAAUCAAAAAAAUUUUAACAUAUUCAACAUACAAUAUAGUUUUACUUUAUGUAAUUAUUGCAAAGUAAUAAGUAAUUAACAUAAUUAACUUUAAUAUUAAUUAAAUGAUAAGUAAUAUGCUUAGAAUUCUAUUCAAGGAAUAACUCUAGUUUGCAUUAAUAAAAUUAGCAAAACUUUUAAACUAAUAAUUGUAAUUUAAAUUCUAAUUAUUUUUAAAUAUGUAAUUGUGCCAACUUCUAUUAAAUUAUAAUUAUUUUUAAAUGUAAAUUUAAUAAUAUGAUGGAAAAUAAAGGAUAUUCUAGUUAGUUCAAAAAAUUUUCCAAACUCAUAUUUUCCAUAUAUUAUAGAUUAUAGAUAAAAUAUAAAGCUAAAGUGUUUUUUUUUUUUUUCAUUUCUAACUUUUUGGGUAAAUGAUGAAAGGAUAAUAAUUUAAAUAAAAAAUAAAUUCGAUAUAAAUUUUAUUUAUUACAGAAAUUCAUUUAGCAAAAACAGAAUUAUUUUUUAACCAACUAUUUUAGUAAAAUUAAAAUUCUUAUUUAUAAAUUGAUAAAUACUAUAAAUAAUAAAAAGAAAAAUGAUCUCAUACACUACUUGCAGAGUUUUUUAGACUUCACAAAGGAGUUUAGGGUAUGAGUAGCAAAAAAUAAUAAAUAAUGUGACACUUAUCACACUUUCAACCCCACUUGUAGAAUCUAAAAGAACUCCACAAAUGACAAAAUUAGUAACACAAAUAUAGAUACAACAUAUACAUAUAUAAGAUAAUAAUAGAAAGACUGUUAUUUUAUCUAAAAAUUAUGCUUAAAUUAACCUUUUAUUUAAUAAUUAGUCUCAUGUUUCGUAGUGUAUUGGUACAAGUGACAGAAAAAGGAAUGUGGGAGGGAUCCUUGUAAUUAGGACUAAAUUGAGAAGUUGAUAUAAAAAUGUAUAUAUAUUAUCCGAAAGGAAGAAAAAGGAUUGGAGGACUUGCUUUGUGAAUUAAAUGCAUACACUUUUUCUAUUAAAUACAGUCAAAUUCUUGUGGGGCUGCUUUCCAUCUCUGCAUUUCUUUGUUUUCAUUCAUUGUAUGCCCUGCUCAACACGCUGCAUCUAACCCACCCUCACUCAUCCAUGGUUAACAAUACCAACCUCCCCCUUGCUUUCCCAAAACAAAUCAAAUUUGAUAGCAUUCUUAACGUCUGUGAAUCAAAACCAUUUUCAACAAAUCCAUAUUCAGAGUUCGUGUCACAACAAUGUUAUCUCCCCAGUUCUAAAACCCCACAGCUUUUCCCGAUUAUCUUGAAAAGCAAAGCCGCCCUCCCUCUUCUUCAGUCUAAGACAAGGAGAAGUUGUAAGGGGGAGAUGAACCUUAUUAUAAGACCCAAAAGCUUACUCUUGUAGCUAUAUGUACAAUACAUGAAAUGGCCAUGAACCUUAUUGUGAGACCCAAAAGCUUACUCUUGUCGCUAUAUGUGUGAUAGAUGAAAACAUCAUUACUAUCCUCGUAUGGCUGCAAAUUCAAAACAAUAUAUAUCACAUUAUUUAGAUAAACCUACUGUGUUUCAGAAUACGUGAAUUAAGUGACGUAAUGCAUGCAUACCCUUUGCUUCUUCUUUUUUCAAAAUAAAGUAAGCUAACAUGAAUCAUUUUUCUUCAUGAUAUACUAAUUACCAGAAGAUUAAUAUGUUUUUAAAUCAUUACCAUUGAAAACAAAACCCUGCAAAUAUAUAUGGACGUGUUGCCCGAAGCUUUAACCAAUAUCCUUAUCCAAAGCAUAGCACAAUCACUAUCCAUUCUUGCUGUCCUAGUUUAACGUUGUUGGAUCCUUCUAUGUAAAUAUAACAUCAAUCCGGCCGAUGCGCCCUAAUUCACUAAUGACUUGUUCGACUAAAUGAAAUGAAAUUUGAUAUUUUUUAAGAAAAUUUUAAAUUUCGGAUAAUAUAAAUAUAUAUAUAUAUAAGUGUUGAUUUGGGAUUCAAAUUAGAAUUUAUUUUAAAAUAAGCGAUGCUCAAAUAUGAUUAUUGGAUAUUUAAAAGAGAAAUAUUUGGAAAAACAAGUGGAUCAAAGCCAUCAGACUAUUCAUCACCAUGAGUAGAAGGCUAACUUGUCAAUACAUUUAGACAUUUAUUAGAAGAAGAAAAAGGAAAUUUUUCCUCAAAUAAAAAUCAUUCUUAUUUGUGGUAUUUACGACCUCAAGGACUCAUUGUCACCCAGGUAUUUAUAAAAACCGCUUUUUGGUUCAUUGCAUGUGAACUGUUUGGACCACUAGAAAAUUCAGUGGAUGCUUCCUUUCGAUGCAACUAAUCACUUUUGGUUUAUAUUGGAUAUUUGGACAUGAAAGUAGUGUAAACCGAAACCAGUUCAUGUGUUCAAGUUCAACGUCUCUUUCCCUCUCUUUGAACAUUCCUAAUAAUUCACAGGGCAGGCGCCUGCACUUAGUCAAGUUGGCGGCACUUUUUUUGUGGGGGUGGGGUUGCAUUUUUAUGGUACGGGCGAAGAUCUACCUCAAAAGUCGACAUUUGGAGAAAUCUGAAUUGGAAAUGUCAGGCGCUUCGCUUUCAAUGGUUACCCUCAUAGAUACGGCACGCUUGAGGCGAUGGCUGCACUGCUACUAUUCAAACAAGCUGCUGCAAAGGCAAGAAUGAAUUCCCCCACGCUAUCAGCUAUGCCUAUGGGGGUUUAUACUGUUCUGUUAAGAUUCAAUGACAUCAACCUCAACCCAUGAUAAAACUUAGGACUCACAUCAAAAAACCAAAAAGGUUAGGAGUAGAAAAAAAAAAGAAAACCAAAAAUCGUUUUAAGUUUUACUAUAUUCAAAUCCAUUUUGCUUUGUUUUUUUUUUCUUUUUAAUAUAAUAGAAAUGCGGCUGUACAUAUAUAAAUUUUGUAAAUUCUCUCUUCCAAAGUAAAAUUAAAAAUUUAGAUUUUAAUUAGUAAAACCACUAUGGAAUCUCUAUAUUAAGAAUCAAAUUACAUUUUUUCUUCUUUACUCAAAAAAUAGAUAAAUUACUCUAUGUACAUUAGAUUAAAGAGUAAAUUAGUCAAAUUUGUUAAAAAUUUCAUUCAUUUAUACUAUUAAAAACUGACAUAAUUGACAGACUAAUUAGACAGUGACAUUCGAUGUGCCAUGUGUACCUUAUGCUAACGUACAUGAACCACUUUUUUACAACAGAAAUGGAUAGAAUUUUUAAUAGAAGAACCAAUUUUUUGUUUGGUCUAAAGUACAUGAACUAAAUUACCCAUUUUUUAAUAGAAGGGACAAAAUACAAUUCGACCCUUAAUACAAAAAUCUUUAUGUUACUUUUAUCCUAAAUUUGAGGUUUAAUUUGUCAAAUCAAUUUUAAUAUUCUUAUAUAAUAUUUAAACAAAUAUAUAUUGCAAGCCUGAAUCUUUGUUUUUUACUCAAGUCCAACUAAAAUCCUUCAUGCAGAGGAAAGACAAGAACAUUGAUACAACAUCACCUCUUCGUGUUUAUUCAAGAGAAAAAAACAUAACUUACGUAAUAUGUACAAGAAUAGUCGGUCAAUUAUGUUAUUGGUUUUAUUUUACUUAUCCAACUAUUAACUUUUUUAUUUAAUCAUCCCUUCUGUUAGUUGCUGUUUGAUGAAUGACGAAAAGUUAAUUUGAGCUUUUUUUAUUGAUCUAAUAACAAAUUUAACUCGGGCAUAAAUCUGGUAUGAAAGACCAAAUAAAUUUAUAUAUUCUAUCAAUUUUAUCAUGUAUCUAAAAAGUAGACAAAACUUACUGCUAGAAACUUCAAGAAUGCAUCCCAUCUUCCAUGUCUCACUUCCCUCCUACUUGAGCAAACUCAAUAAAUCUCACCAGCACCUUUGCCUGUUAAUCUCAUCCUUUCACCUGCUAAAGUUCUUUCGCAUCAUUGGAUCAUAGAAGCUGGUGUUCCAACCAUACAACUUCUAAAGAUCGUCCUUUAGAAGUCUGGAGAUUGAGGACAAGAAGCAUUUCCAAGGGGCAUCAUUGAAUUUGUUUGUUCUUUUAAUAAAAUUUCUAGUCUUGUUGUCGCAUUCAGCCUGUAUCAAACAUUCUAGUCGAUUCACCAAGUUGCAUGUCUCCAACAGUUUUAGUUUUGGGUUUGAGUACCCAACAUGAUAAGAGAAACUUAAUUGAAUCAUUGUUCCCAUGGCUGAAAGCACUUGUUUUAGUUCAAUCAGGAUUUAUCACAACUUAUACAACAUUUCUCAGUGUCUAAAAGACGUUCACAUGUAUGCACCAUCAUCUUUGAAGAAAGUUAGAGUCACGACAUGUAUAAAUACAAACAAUAAUCCAGGAAGAAAACAUGCCAAUGCAAUGCAUUCAUAUACUUGAUAUGUUCUUACAGGAAACUGCAUUUUACAGCCAGAGACACUGCAUAAAGCUUCAAAAAGAACACAUCCGAUCUAUCAAUAUUUCUGAGGUGGCUGCUGGGUUGGCAAUAAGCCAAAACGUUUCUUCAAAAGAACUCUUUGUCUGGAAUAUUUGUCAUCAGGGGAGAAUCGAGCUGCACGAAUGUUGGGGAAAAAAAAAGUAACUAUAACCCAUAAUAACACUCUCUAAUAAGAUCUCUACGCAACUUUCACAUAAUCAUUAAAAACAAAAGAUCAUACAACAACCUAACAUGGAUUCAAGCCAACAUCAUCAUCCACUAUAUUUGAGUGCCAUAGAUGGCAAAAUUUACUAGCAACUUGCCAGUAAAAGCAGAGAAUGAGUAACAGAUGGGUAAUGACCAUGAAAUCAGAACAGCACUUCUGAUUCUCGGCCAAAAUGGACCUCUUUUCUUGAUUUUCAGAUUAAACCAGACAAAACAACCAUAUGCAGAUCAAAGCAGCCCUCAGAAAGGCAAUUAUAUAUUUAAAUGUUAAAGCAACCAAUAAGAGUUUGUUCAGACGCCUCAUUAAAACAUAAUGAAUUCCUAAACAGCAGUGUAUGCCGGAAAUUAUAUAAACACAUCAGGCCUUAUUACCUGGAUGAGCAGACUGAGUAGGCAUACCCACCGGUGAUUCUUUCUGCAUAUAAAAAUCGAUAUAAAUGUAAUUAUAGAGAAAAAAAAAACUGUUGGAAUAUUGAUUAUACAUAAAUUAGAAACCAAAAAAAAACAAAUACCAAAACCUGAUUAUAUGCUGAAAGCCAAAAGGUAAAGAGAUUAAAAUCUAAUCCUAGUAUCAAUUUUCACCAUUUAAUUCAUUUUUCAGGACAGGUUAAGUUUAUUCAGCCAUUAACUCCCUCAAUAAUCAUGGAACAGAAACACUACCAAGAGAAAAAAAAUGAAUGAAGUUCUCAACAUUUCAAAGAACAAGUCUCAGUUGUAGUACUUGUUUAAGAUCAAACUAAGCUAAAACCUCAGCUUUUUUUUUUUUUUUAAAGUUAUAAGUAAUAGUUCCAAAUUUGCUUAAACCAAGUUCUUAUAAAUCUUAUUCAUAGCUUAGAAUCUGUUUCUAAAGGUUAAAACCUCAGCUUUAUACGUAAGAUUUAUCACUAAAACCUUAGGUUUGAUUCUUUUUUUAAAGGUUAAAACCUCAGUUUUAGAUUUUCAUUAUGGCAUACAAAGUUGUCUUUACCAAGUCUUAAUCACCAUAAACGAUAUAAAAAAAUUGAGGGAUUAACACGAACCUCAGAUAGUUUCUAGUUUUAACUAAUUGUUAUCAGUAAAAAAAUUAAAAAACGAAGAAGAAAAAUUAUGGGACUUUACCUUAGUGGUGUAAACUUUGUCACCAUUAUCGUUAAUGUAGAACUGGAGAUACAUCUUAUCCGAAUAAAAGGAACAACAACUGCAGAAAGAGAAAAAGAUUAGAACCUUUAUGCAAUGAAUAGAAAACCAUGCAUAAGGAGAAAUUUGUCACUUUGUGAUCGGAGCCGCACCUUCUGAGAUUGGGGGAGGUAGGAGAAGGAAUGAAAGAAAUUUGAACUUUUAGGGUUUUAGACUUUCAUAGCGGCAAUGGGCCAUUACAGGCUUAAUAACAGCUAUCCUUGAAAUUGGGCUUGUUUCAAUGGUUUAUUAGGAGUUUUUUUGGACAAAUAAUUUAAAAUUUUUUAAGAUUUUUAAAAUGUUAAUAUUUUAAAUUUUAUUUAUUUAAAUGUUAGUUAUUGUAAUUGUUUUGUUUGGAAUUAAAAUUUUAUAAAUUAUAAAAUAUUAAAAUAUUAAAAAUAAAUAAUAUAAAAAAUUUAAAAUGAAUAUUAUUAUAUUUAUAAAUAUUAUAAAUCUUUUUAAUAAAAUAAAAUUUAAAAUAUAUAUAGUAAAAUUAAAUAAAAAUGAUUUUUGAAAUUUAAGUUUUUAUCUUAUAGUGAGACUAUUGUAUAUUAAAUAAAGUUCCAAACGACUUAUAAAUAGGACUUUCAGUUGCUUGCGUAACAGGAGAUUUUUAGGUUUUUCUCUCGUUUUUUGUCUGCCGACAAUGGUAAAGUUGGAGAUUUUCAUCCGAUAUACUAAAAUGAUUAGUUUUUAUUCUAAUACAUUCAGGAUCUAUCUGCAGCGUCAACUUAAAAAUCCAUGUAGGAAGAAUUGGCGAAUCUAAAUAUUGCCGAAGAGGAAGAAGAACUAGUCUACGAUCAACAGGAUGUAGAGGAAAGCGAAGAGGAAUUCAAUCUAUGUCUAGUGGGGAAGGUUCUAACAAUUAGUGCAGUCCACUUUCCAUCAAUGAGAAACAUGCUCACUGAACUUUGGCAUCCUAUUGAAGUAAUAUCUAUAUCAGAAAUAGAGGAUAAAAUGGUUCUUUUUCAGUUUUAUAACGAGCUGGAUAUCAAGAGAGUAAAAGGAGGGAUCCCCUGGUUUUUUAAUAGACAUUUAAUUCUCUUUCAUCGAUUGGAAAGAGGAGAAGAUCCGGUUCAAGUCCCUCUGAUUUUUCAAAUUUCUAUGUGCAAAUUCAUAAUCUACCAAUAGGGGCUAUGUCAGAAGGGAUGGCAAGAUAGUUGGGUAACUUCAUUGGGAAAUUCUUAGAAUAUGAUGCUACAAUAAUUACUAGGAGCUUGAAAAAAAUUAUACGUGUAAAGGUAAAUUGGAUAUGUAAAGCCCCUUAAAAAGAAAUAAGCACAUCAUAUAUAGACAAGGUAAAUCCACCUAUGCAAUUUUUCAAUAGGAAAAACUCUCUUUGUUCUGUUUUUUGUGUGGACGAUUAGGGCACGGAGAAAGUUUCAACCCACUAAGAUUAUCUUUGGGAACCCAAGAAGUAACCUUGGAACCGGACAGUUCAUUACGUUCGCAGCCAAAUAGGGCACUGACGGUGAAAAGUAGACGGUUACGUGAGGAACCAAAAGCCAUGGUUAAAGGUGGAUCGAGCGACAAAGAACAAAAAGAAAAAAAGUUAGCAGAGUACACAAGGAAUAAUUGAACACUUAAUUUGCAAGAAAAAAGAAUACACAAAACAUCAUUUGUAAAGGGCAAUGAAGAGGCAAGUAGGAAGUCGAGCCUCCGUUUUAGUAGCGACGUUAGUAUGGAUUAUAAUAACUUGUCAGAGGAGGAAGCAAUUCAAUAAGACAACCCAGUUGGAUUGAUUGAAGGAAAGAAAAGGCAACGGACAUUACAAUUGGGGGACAAUAUUGCAACACAAAUGGAAACAAAAUUUGACAAUAAUAUAUCGACAGCUGUUGAAAAGUAGGCCGACCGGUCGUAAUAAAAACCCUAAGCUGGAGAGUUCGUAGACUGGGACAACCAUAAAUGGUGAGACGUCUCAAAAAUAUGUUGAGACAAUAUCAGCCCCAACUUAUGUUCCUCAUAGAAAUAAAAGUUAGAACGAGGAGGAUGGAAAAGAUACGUAGGAAGUGUGGGUAUGAGUAUAGAAUUGACAUAAGUGUAGAUGGCUAGAGGGGGGACUAUCGUUAGGUUGGAAGGAGAGCUUAUUAAUGAAUCUAAGAAGCUAUUACAGCUCUCAUAUUGAUGUGGAAGUAGAUGAAGAAAGCAUAGGAGCAGUAUGGAGGUUUACAAGAUUUUAUGGAUCCCUAGCUGAACACUUACGAAAGGAAUCAUGGAAUAAGCUUCGAAAUCUAAAGGAAGGAAGCCAAUUACCAUGGGCUGUUAUGAGAGAUUUUAAUGAGGUGAUGUAUUCAUUUGAAAAAAGAAGGGGGAGACCACAAGAAGAAAGAAAAAUGGCAGUUUUUAGGGAUGCAUUAGAGGAGUGUGAUUUAAGCGAUUUAGGAUUCUCAAGUCAAUAGUUCACAUGGAAGAGAGGCCGAUUGGCAGAAAAUAAUAUUAGAGAAAGACUGGAUAGAGGUAUGGCUAACUCGGAGUGGUGGACACGUUUCCCAGAGUACUUGUUGCACCAUCUAAAUCAUAGUUUCUCGGAUCAUUGUCUGUUUCUUUUAGACAUGAUGGGGAACCGAAAGGGCUAUGAUUACGAAGGGAAUAUCCAUUCAGAUUUAACGAGGAUUGGGUGCUAAAGAUGAUUUUUGAGAAGUUAAAAUGGUUUGAUAUUCGAGCAACAUGGAGCUUUUGAAAAAAACUUUAGUCAUUAGGAAGAUCAUUAAAGGAAUGGCCAAAUCGAAUAGAGAGAAACAACAUGAAAAAAGAAAGGAAUUGACCCUAAGACUAAAACAAGCUGAACAAAAAAGAUCUAGAUGAAGAAUACUUGGCAGAAAUCAUGAAAGUUAAAUUGGCACUGAAUAUGGAAGCAGACAAGGAAGAGAUUUAUUAGGAACAAUGAGCAUGAGCAAACUGGCUUAGAAUGGGUGAUCGUAAUACAACUUUCUUCCAUAAUUUUAAAAAUCAACGCAAAAAGAAAAACUUAGUGAUGGGCCUUGAAGACGAGAAUGGAAGAUGGGUUGAAAGGGAGGAAGAAUUAAUGGGAUUAGCAAGAAUGUACUUUAUUGAUGCUUUCUCAUUUAAACUAGUCUACAGUUGCGAAAACUUACAAUCGAAAAUCCAACCAUGCAUUUCUAGUAGUCUGAAUGAGGAACUUUAUGCCAAUUUCAAAGAAUAUCCCGGUUUCUUUUAUAAAAAAUUCUAACAUAUAGUGGGGAAGGAUGUAACGAAGUUUUGCUUAGAAAUUUUAAACAAUCAUAAAGAACUUGGAUAGGUGAACAAGACAAAUAUUGUGCUCAUCCCUAAAGUUUUGGUUCCUAAAAAUAUAGGAUAGUUUUGACCCAUUAGCCUAUGUAAUAUCCUCUAUAAGAUCAUAUCAAAAGCAAUUGUUAACAUAUUUAGGAAUGGACUUAAUUAUUGCAUAGAGGAAACUCAAGGAGCUUUCGUGCCAGGGAGACAAAUUACUAACAACAUUCUAGUGGCAUAUGAAUUAUUGCAUUAUUUUAAAAAGAGAAGAUAUGGUAAAAGGUCUUUUGCCUUAAAAUUAGACAUGGGCAAAUAUUAUGAUACAGUUGAAUAGGAGUUUGUGGAAAAAAUGAUGAGAGGCUUUGGCUUUUGUGAGGGAUGGAUAACUUUAAUUAUGCAUUGUUUCAAAAGUGUUUCUUAUUCGGUGAUACUCAAUGGAGGAAAAUGAACUGAAUUCAAUCCUUCAAGAGGCCUAAGGUAAGGAGAUCCACUAAGCCCUAGGACGACGAAAGAAGAAUGCCUUUGUUGAAAUCAAAGAAAGAUUCUUAACAAAAAUAAAAAACUAGAGCAUUUAUAACCUAUCAAUAGGAGAGAAAGAGGUAUUUAUCAAAUCUAUUUUACAGAUCAUUCUAAUUCAUGUAAUGCAGUGUUUUAAUUUUUCGGUUUCAUUAUGCCGAGAGUUGGAAGUUUUAAUGUGUAAAUCUUGGUUGCGCAACAUAAGAACUAAUAAAGGAAUUCAUUGGUGUAAUAGGAGCUUAUUGUGAACCCCAAAGGCACAAUGGGGAAAUGGAUUUAGAGAUCCAUCAAAAUUUAAUAAUGUUUUGUUAGCAAAACAAGAGUGGAAACUAAUAACUAGUCCUACCAGUCUAUUGGCACAAGUUAUGAAAAGUAAGUACUAUCCGCGAAGUGACUUCAUGAUUGCAAGUUUAGGAUCUUACUUUUCUUUUACCUGACGAAGCAUGUAACACCUCAUACCUGGCCUAGACGUUACGAUCGAAUUAUGGAGGUUACAUCGUACAAGCAAAAGAAACAAAUGUUUAAUUUGAAGGAAACUAAUUUUCAGCAGAAAGAAAAUUAAUUUGAAUAACGCUUUAAAUAACAUAGCAAUUUUUUUGAAACCAUAAUAUCUAGGGCGAACCUUUUUGUUGUAAGCUCGCAUCAUUUGCUUUUGGUACAUUUGACCAUGACGGAUAGCUUUCAACAUUUUCUCUUCAAUCAAAUUUAACUGAUCAUAUCGGGUUUGGAUCCAUUUUGCUUCAUCCAAAUUCAACUUUGACAAGACUCGAAGGGAAGGAAUCUCAACUUCGAUGCGUAAAACUGCCUCCAUUCCAUAGACCAAUGAGAAGUGAGUUGCCCCGAUAGAUUUUUUUUGCCUCCACUGCACCGUUCAUUUUGGGGCGAUAUGAUGUUAAUCUUGAACAGACUGCAAACUUCUGAUAUCAUUCUGUUGUUCAAAUUUAGUGCAUUAUCAGAUAUGAUCCUUUUUGGCAUUCCAUACCAACAUAUGUUUUUCUUUUUUUUUUAAGAAUUUGCUGACUGUUGACUUUGUAAAAUUGGCAUAUGAAGCAGCUUGCACCUACUUAGUGAAGUAAUCGACGACCACAAAGAUGAAUUGACGACCGUCAAAAGCUUUUGGCGAGAUCGGCCCAAUGACAUCCAUGCCCCACAUAGAGAAAAGCCAUGGAUUCCAUUGAUUCUUUGUAAGGUAGGAUCUGUUUCUCAUCUUGCUCUACUAUCUUUAACAAAUCAAGAGAUAAGCUACAGUCUCGGUCAUCUUCAAAGUCAUGAGAUCCCUCCAGACAUAUAUCUCGUUCAAAAGGAGAUUCUGGGUCUGUAGCAGCAUCGCUCAUGUCGUUGAUAUCUGAAGACCUGUUGUACGCACGAAGGAAUAUCCAAAGAAUAAAUGAAUCUAAGAACAGUUAUUUAUGUAGUAUGAAUAUGUAUUUUUUUAUUGAAAUAAAGAUGUUGGACACGAGCCUAUUUCACAAAAGGAUUCUUAUUGCUUCUAGGCUUAAAGCAACAAGCGUGUUUUAAACAUUACUCUGAACCAGCUCUAAAAAAUACAAGAAUCUCGUCCGUAGUCCAAUUGUUCAGAAUACUUCCAGGCUCAUAAGGGUAAAUGCCUGAUAAAUUUUCUCUUCUAAUUCCUUCUUCAGAUAUAGCAUUGAUGCUCUAAUUUCUGAACAUUCCUUCUGGGCCUUCAGUAUAUUCAAAGAAUUCUAGUUCCUUAUUAUCCAUCAGGCCUUGCACCAAGGCUCUGAAUUCAUUGCACUUUUGAAUCUCGUGACCCUCUUCAUCAUGGAACUCACAGUAGUUCCUUGCUUCUCUAGGUUUCUCUCCUAAAUCCUGUGUGAUUAAUCCUCCUUCUACCAUUUUUUUCCAAACCUCCCUCAUCAGGGUUUUCACUUCUGCUGCAUCUGUCUUGAUUCAGCUCCCGGCACUCUCGAUUAUCACGUUUACCUUUUUGUCAGAAUGGUUGGGUAACGAAUUUUCUGCACUAGAUGGAUCAUCGAAUUUCACAAUACCCAUUUUUAUGAGUCUUUCGAUUAUCUUUUUGAAAGUGGUGCAGUUCUCGAUUGAGUGUUAUGUAAUUCCCGCAGGGUAUAUUUAGGGUAUGAGGGCUGCAUAGGUUUUAGGUAGAAAGGGGAUACCACAUGUACAUUAAACAAACUUUGGUACAACUCCCCAUACGUGGUUGGGAUGGGCGUGAACUAGAGUUUUUCUGAGUUCGGUCUUGGAUUGGGUUCUUGCCAUGGGGGGAUCUGAUGGCUAGUAGUUGUCGUCCUUGGUUGGCUUACGGUAAUCGGCUUUGAAUAGCCUUUGUUAUACAUACUCACAUUAUUCACCUUAUUUUUCCUCUUCCUCGGGACCUUUAAAGUAUUGAUUUGGGAGCUCCACUCUCGUCCUUUCCGUUUGUAACGAUCUUCAAAUUGUUUUGUGAGCUUCACUCUAGCCUGUUUUGUUUCUUCUAGAUCAUCCAAAUCAAGGACAACAGGAUUGGUUAGAUUAUCCCCCAGGUUAGAACCUAAACCUGUCGAAAAGUUCACUGGUGUUGAGGUACCAGUCUGGUAUUGCGGUCUGAUGUUAACAGACACCCUUUGUGGAUACAUAUUUGGUUGUGCUUAGGUGUUUGUUGGGGUAAAGCUUGGAGGAUAAGCAGUGUCCUCGUUAUCGUCCCCGGAAUUGACCAUAGGGCUCUUUCCUUUUUCUAACCCUCCAGUCAGCAACUGGGUUAACUGACUCAUCACAUUUCUUUGGAAUUCUAGCAUCUGAUCCCUCAUAUCUUGUUGAAUUUUAGCCAAUUGCUCUUGUAUCUAUAUUUACAUUUGCUCUAAUCUCUCCAACCUUUGGUCUAUUUCUUUAGUUUUUCCUCGUGUAUCGAUAUUUCAGGAUAACUGUCAAGAUUUUAGGGUCAUUUUUGUAAGAUUUAAUGCAUAUGAUGCAAUGCAAUGCUAAUGCAUGAAUGCAAUGAAUGCAAAAAAAGAGGCGUUGGUUUUGAUUCAAUUAUAUUAGAACAACUCUUCUAGAAAAUAAAUCUUUUUAUAUAAAACAGAUAUUUAUACGACAUUGCCCUCAGACUCCAGACAAAGACAUCGAUCCCUUUCUCCAUAUCCGGAUGUUAAGAUCAAAUCUCGCAAACUUUUGCCUCUACUAGCUUCUUUUUGCUUGAUCCAAGUUGCGGCCCAUUGCUCACUCAUCCUCGUGAUAUUCGUUAGCUUCUUUAAGAAAGCUGAGACGUUGACGGCUCUCGAAUAAGCUUUGUCGGGUUGAAUCUUCGGGCAACGGAGUAAGGUCAUGUACUCAUUCAUCAGACUAUCACCUUUCCCUCGUUAUGCUUUUUUAGACCAUAUUCAAACGACCACAUUGUCUUCCACUUUAUCAAGAAAUCCAUUUUCCAUCGCAAGCUCUCUAUUUAGCCACUAAAUGUGAAUCAACACCUAUUUUCUAUGAUGAAAAUGUAAUGUAAUCAUAACUAAAACAAAAGAAAACACGUCAGUACAAAAACAUAAAUAACAAAAAUAGCACCUAUUUGGAUGACCACUAGGGGUUUGGAGUGGUUUUACCUAGGGUGGGCUCUUAAGGCUCGCUAUAUGAGGUUCAAUUCUAAAGUAAAGGUACCCGAACCGGCAGAUUACUCGAUCCUCACCCAUUAUAGAUUCAUAUGGACUGAGUUCAGUUCAGGGGAAUACAUUUCCCUAUGGUUGCACGGAGAUGAAAAUCUCACGAAGACAUAGGUACGGAUGUAUCCCGAAAGCGAUCCACUAUCCUGCAUGGAGGUGAAGACCUCACGAAGGAAUAGUUUCUCACUCCCACUUAAAAGAGUAAGAUUGAUUGAUCAUGCGAUGCAAUGUGCAGAAAGAUACCAAAACUUAAACCAACAUAGCAAUUAAACCAUAAUGAUGAAGAUCCUAAUAAAGACAGAUGAAAUGCAACAAAAAGAUCGUACAUUAUAACCACGUUUUCAAUUUUCGACAAAAAGACAAAAAAGUAAUCAACUCGUGGCUUGACUCUCUUAUUUUGGGUCCCCAGUGGAGUCGUCAAGCUGUCGAAACCAUUUUUUUUAAAAGAGUCGACUUUAAUUUUGGAAAUGAAACACCAAUCCUUUUUUAUGAGGUGUGAUCGAGUCACCUCGAAAAGUAGUUAUUUUAAUAAAUGAUUUGAUUUAUUAAAACAACGAUUUUGGUCCACAAAAUUUAAAAAGAUGGGUUCGGGAGUCGGUUACGUACGAGGAAUGAUUAGCACCCUCGUUACGUCCAAAAUUGGUACAUAGUCGAUUAAUUAGUGCCUUAGUGUCGAAAAUUGAUGACUUUGAAGAGAUCUAAAAUACAAUCCUUUGUUAAAAUAUUGAAAAUUUUCGAGAAAGAUGCAUAUUUCAUGUUAAUCGAGGAAGAGAAUUACGUCCCGUAAGUUAGGACACAAUGUCUAAAAUUCUCGAUACGAGAACGAAUGCUGAAAAAUUUACUUAUUUGAAAGAUAUUUGAUUAUCUCGAUUUUAGAAAAGACCAUAUUCCGUAAGUUAGAACACGAUAUUUUAUUAAUUCCCGAGAUUAUUAAAAAACAUAUGUUUAAAAAGGAUUCGUGUAUGUGGAUUUAUCAAAAAAAUCAAAACCACAUAAGUUAGGGAAUGACUUUUUGAAUCUCAAAAUACGACAUAUCAUUUAUUUAAAAAAUUUAUGUAUUGAAUAAAUGUAACACGAAUUGGUAGAAAUAAAGUACGAUGUUAAUAUGCAUAACAAAAUAAUAAUAAAUGCGAUAAUGUAAAUAAAAAUAAUAGAAGCAAAAACAAAAAUAAGAUAAAUAAUAAAAAAAUAAGACAAACCAAUAAUAAGUAAAUAAACAAAUAAAACCUAGCACUUUUUAAAAAAUAAUGGACACAUAAAUAAAUAAAUAUUAAGUAAAACAGUUUAAUAAAAAAUAAAAUAUAGAAAUGAAAUGAAAAUAUAAAAAAUAUAUGUAAAAAAAUGAUAAAAAAUGAAGAUAAUUUUAAAUACUAAAGCAGCAAGAAAUAAUAACUAUGUAUUAAAAUGGAUAAAUAAAAAUAGUAAAAAUAUAAAAAUAUAAAAUAAAACAAAAAAAAAUAUAAGGAAAAUAAUAAUAGUAAUAAUAAUAUUACAUUAAUUAAUUUAAUAAUAAAAUAGCAAAAAUAACAAAAAGGACUAAAUUGAACUUUAAAAUAGAAAUUUGGGGCAAAUCAGAAAUAAAUAAAAGGAACAGGACCAAAUUGAAUGCUCGAAUAACAAGGAGGGAGCAAAUGGGCAAUAAACCCCACCCUCCAAAACGCAUAGUUUCAAGGUGGACCAAAUUGAAAAUCGAAUUAAAUUAUAGGGCAAAAUUAAAAAAUGAAAGAAACUUCGUUGUAAAUAAUGAAAAAUGAGGAAGGGCUAAACACGCAAAAAACCCAUUUGUCAAAAACACGUGGAUCCUCCUAGGUGGGUCGGGCCGGCGCGCAGGUUGCCUCAAACUUCCAGGUCGUUUCUAGAUGUUUUCCUGACAUUUUUGGGCUUCAUCUGCGAAAUAACUUUAGAUAUGUCUUUCAUUUCCCUUUGAAUCGGUAUAUUAUGGACCUAAAACGAAUGUUUGUAGCUAAAAACCGCAAAAACUUACCAAAAAUAAACUUUAAACUCAUUUUUCUCCAAUUAUUUUCUAAAUCAAUAAUAAAUAAAAUAUAAGUAUAAAUAAUAUAAAUAUAAUUCAAGAGAGAAAAGAUGACAAAAUGCUAAAUGUUGGAGUCUAAAAUAUGUAGCCUAUCACCUACGUUAUAACUUUUCUGCAGUUAUAAUCUAUGUAAAUUGCAUCCUGAGUGGAAACUACUAAGCUUUUGGGUGCCUUCAAUAGAAGGUUCACUUGGAAUGUUUACCAUCCGUUUAAGAUGGGUUUAUUAUUUUUGCAGCUGCACUUUGUUUCAUCUCAGAGAGCAACUGGGGAUGCUCCAAUACUAAGGCAAGCCAAAUUUAUUUUGCUUUUCGGAGAAUAUAACAUUAAGAGUAUUUUGCUUUUAUGCUAUCAGUUGGGAACUUAAAAAUGUAUGAGAUGACACUUUGAUUGGCAACUGAUGUUCCUCCUGAUUUUGAUUAUCUUAUGAAUGGGUUUAAGUGAUAUCUAGGCUGCUACAAAUCUGUUGAUAACCAAUUGUUUAGUGCUGCACACUUGUCAUUUCAUGGAUUUUGAAACUAUUUUUUUAAAUAAUAAAUAAUAGUUGCAUUAUUCAUAAUUUAAAUCCGACUUAAAUACACCCAAUGAAUUUCCAGCCGACCAUGGUUGACUGAAUAGGCAGGCAAGGUCUGCUAACAUUGCGAAUAAUAUCAACCUCAGAUAUCAUAAUACCAGUUUUCCCUUCCUUCACAAGGCAAGGAGAGCAACUCUUUUGAGUCCUUUCCAUCAAUGGAGAAAAAUCCAACUGACAAAUGGCACACACCAGGCUGGUGCCGGCUGAGAUCGGAAAAGUGAAUAUUUGGAAGCUAUUGAUCCCAACAGAAUGCUUAUCUGAAAACUAUCUCCUUUUCCAAUCAAGCUUUGCCACAUAGAGAUCAAAAGGUCCCCCCACUCUAGACUCAUCUCCUGGACACGUGUAAGUAACAUCAUACUUUUGCAAGUUAUUAUCAGCAGUAAUUGGCGGUACUAGGAGUUAAAAUUCCAUUAAGAAUGAACCACCACUCUCAAUGUAAGCCUAAACCUUGUUCUUAUAAAUCUUAUCCAUAACUUUGAGUUUAUUUUCUUAUAACUCAUGUUCCUCCUUGGGGUUUCCAUGUUUCACCCAUUUCCUUCUUCAUUAGCUCCUAAACAUGGCCAGUUCGCGUCUCCCGAGGUUGUUUAUGGAGGUUGCUCCACCACAGUUUGUUACUGUCAUGAGGCACAGAACGAGAAAGAUGUUGGAUACUAUCAAUGAAGAGGAUAGAGAUGGUAGCAACGAUGAUAAUUCUCUUUCUCCGACGUUGAAGAGCUCACCAACUGCAAUCCCUGUGAGUGCCACCAUGGUAGCUGCUGCUGCUGCUGCUUCAUCUUCUUCGGCCACUACUGUGAUGCCAAGCUCCAAGUAUUUUGUCAAAGGAGCGUCAAGUUUUUCAAUUUUCAAAGACUAGAAAUGACUUCAAAGAUGUAUAUUCCAACAGAGUCCGGAGGGAUUGGCCUGAUGACCAACACUUUUCAGAGACUUCUUCUACGUCUGUAUCUGUACUAUAGCCCAAUUGCAUGAUGGGUUGAGUAAGAUUGUUGCACUUGAUGUUGUAAACAACUUUCAUGAAUAAAAAACAUAAGUUGAUAGAUUAUCCUUGAUACUUCACAGUAACAGCUUAACACCUUGAACCAAUGAGUCGCAGACAAUUCAAUAAAAACUUUCAAUAUCCAUUAAUGGAACCACCACCAAUGCUUCUGCAAGAAUUGAAUCAUAAUCAUUGAGGUCAUGUGCUGAUGGAGUUCUCUGAACGACUUCAAGGAAGGUAGCUAGCAAGCCAUCAUUAUGCAGGUUCCAUAGCAAUUGGGGAAUCUUCCAAGCACCUAUUGAAGGGCUUAAACAACACACUUCUCUUUUAGAUUCUUAUCUUUCUAAUUAGAUUUUAGAUUUAGAUUUUUUUUAAAAAAUUUAAUAUUCUUACUUUCUAGAUUGUGGAUUUUACAUUUUUUACUUUUUAGCUUUCAAAUCUUGGAUUUUAAGAUAAACUUUAAGAUUUAAGUUUCUUUAUCUGACUUUUAUACUUUUUUGGGUACAAAAUCGAAAACAUUAUGGCCAAGAAAAACUAAUAAAAACUUAGGAAGCAUUCAUAGACUAUUGCAUCGCUGCUUUUUUCAGCUGAUGGUUGUCUGCUGGUUGCAUUCAUAAACGAGUUGAAGUUUCCAUCCUAUUUUAAUUAGUGUGUCCAACAAUGAUGUUGGUCCAUUUCUUGUUAGAACCCAACAACCUACAAAAACCAAUAUUGUGAUAUUUAAGCAAAAGAAGAAUAACACGAAGAUUUAGGAUUCUAGCUUAAAGUUUGAUAGCAAAUUUGAAGCUAUGGAUAAAUAGCAAACCACUAGAGUUUUGAGCAAUGUCAACUCCUCCAAUAAUGCAUAUUUUGGGUAUUAUCAUUUUGAGCUAGUUAUUUGGAGUCAUUUUUAGUAUUAUUUUUUAGAUAAGAAACCCUAAUUACUGAACUUCAUAGGACUGUCUUUGGACUGACAUUAUAGGGGUGUUAUAACUUUUCCUACAUGUAAUCAUACUCCUAACUUAGAUUUUAGUACAGGAUAGAGUCUUAAUUUUUAGAAUUUUUCUUUAGAAUUAGUCAUAAAACUUUAGAUGAUAAGUAACUAACCGAUCUAACUUAAAUUGAUUAGUGAUGACGCUACUUUUAUUUUUAAGUUUCCUUGUGUCUAGCUUUGUUAGGUCCCUCUAGGCCUAGAGAAGUUAUGAUAAUAUUUAUAAAUCAACAAAUAAAAUCAAUCCAUUAAUUAACAAGUUUAUCUUGGAUUUAAAUUAAAUUAGUAUGUUAAUAUUAUUUUAUAGUUCAUCAAUUUAAAAGUAAGAAAUUAGUAGAUGGAAAUGACAAAAAAAUAGAAGAAAAAAAAUGAUAGUCAUGAAAUUAAUGGGAAAAAAAGAGGAAGAGAAGCAAAGAUAAGGUAAUUCUUGACAAAAGAGAUAAGUCAUAUUAAUUUUAUUUGUGUUUCAAAGAAUUAAGUUAGAUAUAUUGUGGUUGGAAUGUAUGAUAUGAUAAUUUAAUCAAAAUAGUAGAGAUAGAAAGUGUUUUUAGAAUAAAUGGUAUAUAAAGACAUUAAAUUUUUAUAAGGAAAAGAGAUAUAUGAUUUGUAUCAUGAGAAAUGUUAAGGUAAAGAAAUAAAUAUGUUACUAACAUUUGAAUUUAUUUGACUAAAUUGAACAAUAAUAAUAAUCAAAAUUAUAAUGAUUAUAUACAUCCAAUUCAAAACCAAUACAAAAAAUCAUGGAAAAAUAAAUAUUUUCACUAAAACACUUUCUGGAUAGUACCACUAGCUCAACUUUGAAAAUUAACCAAAAAUUGUAUAAAUUGAGUUAGAGGUUGAACCAAAUACGAAAUUAAAGUCUAUUGAGUAUAGUCUUGUAUAGAAGAAACAAUGUAAGCAAAGUAAUUGUAGAUCAUGAGAUAAAUAAAUUUAAGUGAGACAAUGUCAGAUUAAUUUCGAGUUCUCUUAUUCUAACUUUGAAAAAAAUCAUUAAAAAUUGUAAACAAAUAUUUAGGAGAUGAAAUUUAUAUUUCUAAAGUCUUAAUGAGUUUAUUUUCACGAUAAAUAAACAACAAGUGGCUUAUGUGAAAAUUCUGAAAUUUUUAUGGUAGAAAUUUCAUUGACUUUAGUAUCAAAAACAACAAGUCGAUUUUAAUUUUGAAUUUAUUGGGCAAAGUUAUGAAUAAUUUAGUAAAUGAUACUCAAAGUAGACGGCUUUGUUAAGAGUGUCAGUAUAAUUAGUGAAAGAAUAAUUAAUAUUACAUAUAUGCAUGCUAUACUACAAACCAAAUAUUCUUAUAUAUAUAUAUAUAUAUAUAUAUAUAUGUACAUAUAGGAUGUGAAAAGAAGAUGAGGAGGAGGAAAAUAAUAGAAGAGUUGUAAUGCUAAGAAGUUAAUAUAAGAAAUGAAGUUGCUAAUAUGUAAGAGAAGUUUAAAUGAAAUUGACAGAACAUUAAGUUAGUAAUUGUUAUAAGAUGAAUUAAAGAAGUAUUUUUCAAUAAAUUGAAGUAUUAUAUGGAUUUAAAUUGAUUGAUACAUGCAGUGGAUUAUGUGGUAUUGAUCUUAACAUAAAUAUAAAGAAGUUUUUACUUAUUUAGCAUAAGAAGAUUCAAGGUGGUGACACUGGUCACAAGAUGUCGCGACACUGACCCUGUUUUACCCUGCCUUGUUCUUUUUUAUUUGAAAGAUUCUUGAACAAAUCUCAAAUGCCUUAAAUUGACUUUAAAAUGAUAUUAAAGGAGUGAAGAACUUGAAUAAUAAAUUUAAUUUUUGAAAUGUAGUAUUCCUUCUUCAAGCUUAGGAACUAAUUCUAUUCAAAUUAUUUGGAUUAAAUUUAAUAUCGUUAUUUACAUCUUUGUUUUACUUUAUAAACAAGAAAUUUAUUUUUAAUUAUUAAAAUCUUACGUAUAUUUUUUCACCAAAAUUAGUAUUCAGUAGCAUGUAAUUGUUGACAACUUUUUAAAUCUCGAAACAUAUGCUCACAAUUAUUUAAAAAUAACAAUUAAAUAAUAUGAUGCAUGUGUAAAAAGAAUUAGUAUAUUUUACUUCAAUUUGACUUUACUGGUUUAGUUAGAUUUUGGACAUUUGGCAAUUGAUUUACACAUUUUUUUAAAAUGUAAUUCAAAAGUAAAAAAUAUUUUAUUGAAAUUAUUAUUGAAUUUUUUAAAUGGUUAGUUUAAUUAAAGGCCAAACUGUCCAAUGCUAACGUUUCGAUUUCUUAUUUAAACAAGCUAUCUAGAUAGAUUUCUAAACAGCAGUUUAGAUUCAACUUUAGGAUAGCUUGGACUUUCGUGAUUGUCUUUCCUAUAAGUAAAUGAAUUUUAGAUUUUUAUUUUAUUUUAUCUCAAACUUUGAUGAUGGAAUAUGGUUGUUUGUGGAAGACAUGAGUCCAUAUGCCUCAUCAAGUCUUGUCCUGUGGAUGAAAUUAUGUUAGAUAAUCUGAUUGUAUUUUUGGAUAAGUUUAGAACACCAAAUUGAAGUAUUUAUCUCUAUAAAACUGAUUUGAAAGGUUGUCUCAUUUGCCCUAUCUUUAAAAAUGCUUGUGCUUACUUACUGUCGAAUUUUCUUGUAUUCUUGCACUCAGUACGUAGACAUUAUUUGUGAGUGUUAAAAUUGUUUGUAAGUGAGCUAUUUGAGUGAGUGGCUGUAAGAAGUUAAGGUUGUUUAUUGGGGUUGCAAUUGCAUCUUGUGUAAUGGUAGAUUGGGUUUUAGCUAAUAGUUGGUUGGGUCAAUUGUUGAAUAAAUCAUUCACUGAGUGAGACUCCAUAGAGUAGAACUAUUUCUAGUUAGAUAAAAAACUUGCAAUUUAGGCACUACCAUUAAAAAUCAUUUUCUAAAAUAAAGAAAAUUAAAAAGAUAAAAUAAGUGACCAAAAUGAAAACUUACUAAAAGUUGGGUGCAUAAAAUGAGUGUAGAAUAACACUGAAUUAAGGAUAGGUGAGCAAAAUCAAAAUGGUUUUUAACAGCAAUACAUAAAAGCAAAACUUUUUCUAUGCCCAAAAUAAAAACUUAUGAAUGUUAGAUGACGAAAUGUAUAGUCUACCCAUUAUUUUAUUUCGGUGAAUCCCAUCAUCUAGCACGUGAAGGUGUCAUUGGUAGUGUAUGCUAUGGUGGAGAUGCAUGAAUCAGAUAGAGUUAUGCGACAGUUUGAGUUUAGGCAAACAAUUCUAUCGGCACCCCAAGACAUCGAAGAUCUGCACCAUAUCGAAUUGCAAGGGAAAACCGAUGAAAAUUAGCCUACAUUCCACUUGGAAUAUAUCAACAUUUGGAACCAUAGGUGCGAAUUUUUACCUAAUAGCAAACCCAUUAUCACUCGGGAGUUAGCCUGCGAUUCGGCGUACAUGCCAUGGUUUAGACACCAUGGCAAGUGAUAUCUACUAGCGGAAGAGGCAAGGGGUAGGCAACGUCAUGCGAGGAGGCCACGAUGGGCGUCUAGGCAUCCAAGGUCAGGAGUAGUUGCUGAGAUAGGUCCAUCAUCUACACCAAUGCAAGAACAGACACUGAUGGCCACACCACCCUCUAGUCAGUAUGGCUCGACUUAUUCUAGUGUUUUCACUAACCUCGUCAUUUUUACACAAGCACCACAUCUUGCACGACAUUUUUCUAUUUAUACAUCAACUCUAGGUAUUAUUUUUGGACCACCACCUAUGUCUCCAACAUAUUACACGCCGAUGUCAUCGACGUUUCAAACGACGACGAUUCCUUUGACGACGUAUAUGUAACACCCCUAACCCGUAUCCGUCACUGAAAUAGGGUUUCAGAGCAUUACCGAGUAAUCGUAAUCUAAUCAUUCAUUUCAAACAUUUCAAAAAUCAUAAAGUGAUUCAUCAUUAUCAUCCAUAGAGUCUCUUAUUAAGCCUUUGAGGGUUUGAAAACACUUUAGAAACGAUUUGAGACUAAAUCGGGAACAUUCAAAAAUUUUAGGAAAAAGUCAGAAAAAUUUUAACUGCAGGAUUCAUACGGUUGUGGGGUCAAACCAUGUGACUCACACAGCCAAGUCACACACCUGUGUGUCUGGCCGUGUGGGCAUUUGAAGUAGGGACACACGACUGUGUCCCAGCCCGUGUCUGUGCCCGUGUAACUCUUUAACUUGGGUCACACGGCCAAGCCACACGCCCAUGUGUCAGGUCGUGUACACUUCAAAAUGGCCUCGCAUGCCUUUGUGUUAGCCAUGUGUCUCACACGGCCAAGUCACACACCUGUGUGUCUGGCCGUGUGGACCUAAAAUGUGCCUUAAACAAUAAAUCUACCAUUUCCUACAAGCUUGGACAUUAAACAACUCAAAAACCAUUCGUUUAACUUGUCCUAGACACGAUCAAAAACAUUCAAAACAUGCUAAAAUAAUCAUCCUAGGUGCCUAACCAAUGUACCCUCAUUGGUACCACAUUUAUAUCAUCAAAACAUCAACUAAAUUAAAAUUAUAAACAUGUCAAAAUUCAUCAAUUUGGCCUAACUCAAAACUACUUAAGUUCACAUGCACAUAUCAAGAUUUGGUUCAAUCUACCAUACAAUACUAUGGCUUCAAACACAAACACACGUUUAUAUAUAUACCAAACCAACAUUACAUUUAUAAUCUAUCCACAAAAUAACUAUCAUUAGACGUCCUAGGUACAUGUCGACACAAAAGAUAAACAUCACCACAUUUGAGUUCGGGAUCGUUGGUGGAUGCUGAAUCGAUAAUCAAAAGUGAAGUACCUAAUCUGUGCACGGAAAAACAAAUCUGCAUGCUGAGUAAAGCUCAGUGGUAUUUCUAUAAUCUGAAUAUUUAAAGACAAGAUAAUAUAAUAUGCAUAAUUGACUUUUAAGCACAUAUUAAUAUCCAGUAUCAUGACUAUCAUAUGCUAUCAUAUUUCAUUUGUUAAACAAUGUCUCAAUUCACACAAUUGCUAUAUAAAUAGUUAUUCACAUAUCAAAUCACAUUUAUUUGUACAAUGGCAUUAGCCAUUCAAUACUCAACUCAUGAAUACAUCAUUUCAUACCAUACUCAAUUCUCAUCACUUGCUAUAUAAUAGCUUUUCACAAUUUGAUCCACAUAUCAUUUAAACAAUAACACUAUACAUUUCAUAUCCAAUUCAUGAGUACAUAACUCAUGUAUCUUAUUUUCAUGUUUCAAACCACUAUCCCAUUUUCAAUUCACAUGCAAUAUCAUCCAAUAUCAAUCAUAGUACCGUUUUAUUUAAUUACCCUUAUUAACAUGACUCGGAUUCGGAUGGAUACACGGAUCCAACCAACACACCAGUUUGGCACCUAGUGCCUCAUCGGAUAAAUCCGAAGUAAUAACUAUGUCCAGCGCUAUAUAAAUUUGACACCCAGUGUCUCAUCGGUUAUACCGAAGUAAUUGGCAGCCAGUGCCUCAUCAACUCGAAGUCGAAGAUAUCCCUGAACUCUUCCUAUCCUAUGGCAUACCAUCUAUAUCCGACUCAGCCCGAUACAGUUAAUAGGGUUUAAUUUCACAUUUCAGGUGUAAUCAAUAUCCAAUACUAAUUUUUCAUAUAAUCACAUAUAUACACAUGAAUUAAAUUCAAUCUAUAAUAAUCAAUAUCCAACUUUCACAUUAACACAUAUAUCCAUUUCAAUUCAAUAAUCAUUACAUUCAAUAUGUAUCUACCAAUUCAAUCCAUUUCAAUCAAUUAUCAAAAUGUCAAUUAGUCACCUCAACACUUGCCACAUGCAUUAAAUUGAAUUAUAAUAAUUAACAACUAAGUUCGGAUUAUAGAAAUACAAACUGUGAAUUCCGAGCUAUUCGAUGUCAAUUUUAUCUUUCCCAUUUUUAGUCGAGGAUGCUGGUACGACGUUAGCUAUGGAAUUAAAACAAUUAAAAUUCAUCAAUAAAAAAAUUUUUCAAUUUCAUAUUAAAUAUUGAAUAUUUAAAUUUUUACUAUAUUGAAUAUUUAAAUUUUUACUCAAUAUUUGUCUAAAUUCCAAUUUAGUCCCUAAAUCGAGACUAAUUUUAUUCUUCACAUUUAAUUCUAUAUUUUCAUACAAAUUCCACUUUAAACUAAAUUUAACUCCCUAUUUUCACUUAAACCCCUAAAUUUUGAAUUUGUCACAAUUUAGUCCUUAAUACUCAAAUUUUACAAUUUAUUCUACAAUUUAAUCCUUUUUUCAUUUCUAGCUUAAAAAUCUAUCAAUUUAAUCUCUAAUACUAAAAUUAUUCAACAUUGAAAACACUUAAAAACUUAAUAAUUGCUAAAAUUUCAACAUGGGUCGGGUAACCCUAGUACAGAGAUUUCAAAAACAUAAAAAUUGCAAGAAAUUGACUAAAUUGACUAACCAAUUAAACUUUGAACCUUAGAAGUCCCUAAGGUCGUGCGUGACUUUCUUUUCUU